GACGAGGGGUCCAAGCGUUGUUCGGAAUCAUUGGGCGUAAAGCGGGUGUAGGCGGCUCUAUAAGUCAGGAGUGAAAGCCUCGAGCUUAACUUGGGAAGUGCUUUUGAUACUGCAGAGCUUGAAUGUGGGAGAGGUUAGUGGAAUUCCAGGUGUAGUGGUGAAAUACGUAGAUAUCUGGAGGAACACCGGUGGCGAAGGCGGCUAACUGGCCCAACAUUGACGCUGAGACCCGAAAGCAUGGGGAUCAAACAGG
rnacentral:rRNA from 1 species